AUCGAACGCUGGCGGCAGGCCUAACACAUGCAAGUCGAGCGAGCGGCGGACGGGUGAGUAAUGAUUGGGGACUGCCCGAUAGAGGGGGGUAAUUAAUUGAAACAGUGGCUAAUAAAGCAUACUGUCGGAUAACCCAUACUGGAUUAGCUAGUGGGUAAGGUAAUGGCUUACCUAGGCGAUGAUGCAUAGCUGGUCUGAGAGGAUGAUCGGCAACACUGGGACUGAGACACGGCCCAGACUCCUACGGAGGCAGCAGUAGGGAAUAUUUCACAAUGGGCGAAAGCCUGAUGCAGCAACGCCGCGUGAAUGAAGAAGGCCUUAGGGUCGUAAAGUACUGUCGUUCGGGAAGCGGUAACGAAAGAGAAAGUAACGGCUAACUCCGUGCCAGCAGCCGCGGUAAUAC
rnacentral:rRNA from 1 species